rnacentral:rRNA from 1 species
UUGGAGGGCAAGUCUGGUGCCAGCAACCGCGGUAAUUCCAGCUCCAAUAGCGUAUAUUAAAGUUGUUGCAGUUAAAAAGCUCGUAGUUGAAUUUCAGGAUCAAUGUUUCGGUCAUGCCGUUGGUAUGUACUGAUAUUAUUGGUUUCUCACCUUCUAAAGAACCGUAAUGCCAUUAAUUUGGUGUCACGGGGAAUUAGGACUGUUACCUUGAAAAAAUUAGAGUGUUUAAAGCAGGCUCACGCUUGAAUACAUUAGCGUGGAAUAAUGAAAUAGGACAUCCGAUUCUAUUUUGUUGGUUUCUAGGAUCGAUGUAAUGAUUAAUAGGGAUAGUCGGGGGCAUUAGUAUUCAAUUGUCAGAGGUGAAAUUCUUGGAUUUAUUGAAGACUAACUACUGCGAAAGCAUUUGCCAAGGAUGUUUUCAUUAAUCAGGAACGAAAGUUAGGGGAUCGAAGACGAUCAGAUACCGUCGUAGUCUUAACCAUAAACUAUGCCGACUAGGGAUCGGACGGUGUUAUUUUUUGACCCGUUCGGCACCUUACGGGAAACCAAAGUGUUUGGGUUC